rfam:Myxococcales bacterium 68-20 scnpilot_expt_750_bf_scaffold_12, whole genome shotgun sequence.
GACGUCACCCCGACAAAGCCCACACGGGACAGCGGGAAGCGAGUCUUGCAGCGACGCGGGUGACCGCGGCGGUGAAGCGUAGACAGCGAGCAUGUGGGCCGCGUGAUCGAGCUCCGAGAACCAUACGUGGAGGCCGACGCCGUCAGGAAGGCGGAAGGCAGCACUGCGCGAGCAGCUCCACCGGGGUCAUAGAGCG